UGGGGAAUAUUGGACAAUGGGCGCAAGCCUGAUCCAGCCAUGCCGCGUGAGUGAUGAAGGCCCUCGGGUUGUAAAGCUCUUUCACCGGAGAAGAUAAUGACGGUAUCCGGAGAAGAAGCCCCGGCUAACUUCGUGCCAGCAGCCGCGGUAAUACGAAGGGGGCUAGCGUUGUUCGGAAUUACUGGGCGUAAAGCGCACGUAGGCGGAUCGAUCAGUCAGGGGUGAAAUCCCAGGGCUCAACCCUGGAACUGCCUUUGAUACUGUCGAUCUGGAGUAUGGAAGAGGUGAGUGGAAUUCCGAGUGUAGAGGUGAAAUUCGUAGAUAUUCGGAGGAACACCAGUGGCGAAGGCGGCUCACUGGUCCAUUACUGACGCUGAGGUGCGAAAGCGUGGGGAGCAAACAGG
rnacentral:rRNA from 1 species